rnacentral:rRNA from 1 species
CAGAUACCGCCCUAGUUCUGACCGUAAACGAUGCCAACUAGCGAUCCGCCAGUCGACUCAUCGCUCUGGUGGGGAGCUUCCCGGAAACGAAAGUCUUCCGGUUCCGGGGGAAGUAUGGUUGCAAAGCUGAAACUUAAAGGAAUUGACGGAAGGGCACCACCAGGAGUGGAGCCUGCGGCUUAAUUUGACUCAACACGGGGAAACUCACCCGGCCCGGACACCGUAAGGAUUGACAGAUUGAUAGCUUUUUCAUGAUUCGGUGGAUGGUGGUGCAUGGCCGUUCUUAGUUCGUGGAGCGAUUUGUCUGGUUUAUUCCGAUAACGAGCGAGACUCUGGCCUACUAAAUAGUUGACGCAUUGCCACUGUGCGCACAACUUCUUAGAGGGAUUUUCGGUGUUUUCAACCGCACGAAAUUGAGCAAUAACAGGUCUGUGAUGCCCUUAGAUGUCCGGGGCUGCACGCGCGCUACACUGGCAAACGCAACGUGCCUGUCCUGCCCCGAAAGGAGCGGGUAAACCCCUGAAAUUUUGCCGUGAUUGGGAUCGGACAUUGCAACUAUUGUCCGUGAACGAGGAAUUCCUUGUAGGGGCGAGUCAUCAACUCGUCCCGAAUACGUCCCUGCCCUUG